GACGAACGCUGGCGGCGUGCUUAAUACAUGCAAGUCGAACGGAAAGGCCCUGCUCUUGCGGGGUGCUCGAGAGCCGAACGCGUGAGUAAAACGUGUGUAACAUCUCCUUGACUUUGGGAUAACUUCUGGAAACUGGGGCUCAUACAGCGUAGAAGCUCCUGCUGCACGGUGGGGGUUGGAAAGUUUCGGCGGUUGGGGAUGGACUGGCGGCUUAUCAGCUUGUUAGUGGGGUAGUGAUUUACCAAGGCUGUGACGGGUAGCCGGCCUUGGAGGGUGACCGGCGACAUGGGGACUGAGGGAGGGAGCAGUAGGGAAUGGUAGGCAGCGGUGGAGAAUAUUGCGCAAUGAGGCGAAGCGUGAGGCGACAGCGCUCGGAUCGUGAUGAUGUCCUUCGGGUGGUAAACCGCUGUCGCCUGUGACGAAGCGUGAGUGACGGUAAUUGGUAAGAAAGCACCGGCUAACUACGUG
rnacentral:rRNA from 1 species